rnacentral:rRNA from 1 species
CGAGUGGCGAACGGGUGAGUAACACGUGGGCGAUCUGCCCUGCACUCUGGGAUAAGCCUGGGAAACUGGGUCUAAUACCGGAUAGGACCAUGCUUUAGUGUGUGUGGUGGAAAGUUUUUCGGUGUAGGAUGAGCCCGCGGCCUAUCAGCUUGUUGGUGGGGUAAUGGCCUACCAAGGCGGCGACGGGUAGCCGGCCUGAGAGGGUGUACGGCCACAUUGGGACUGAGAUACGGCCCAG